CCUACGGGAGGCAGCAGUGGGGAAUAUUGGGCAAUGGGCGAAAGCCUGACCCAGCAACGCCGCGUGAAGGAAGAAGGCCUUCGGGUUGUAAACUUCUUUUACCAGGGACGGAGGACGUGACGGUACCUGGAGAAAAAGCAACGGCUAACUACGUGCCAGCAGCCGCGGUAAU
rnacentral:rRNA from 1 species